rnacentral:lncRNA from 1 species
UGGGUUUGAAGUGGUCCACGAAGUCUGCAUCUGUGCUAACUUCCCACAAUGACACCAUUGGGCAUGCCUUGCCUCUCCUGUUUCCAUCUAUUCUUCAAUUCAGUUAGUAUUCACACAGAGAAGAACCAACUGAACCUCUAAAUCUGAAAUCCCCCUUCCCCCUUUUCUCCCAAAUCGUGCGACCCCCUUCCCUCUUUCCCAAAUCCGAACUCUGUUCAGAGAUUUAUAAACCCUAAUCUUCUACUCCAGAAUCUCCCAAUUUCGAACUCCACCUCAGAGUUUUAUAAACCCAGCCUGACUUAUCCAGAUUCUUCCCAAAAUUCGAACCCUACCUCAUAUUUUGAUAAGCCCUAGCCUUCUUCUCCAAAUUUCCCCUUCUCACCCAAAUACCCCCUUCCCCUUUUCUGAAACUAAAAAACCCUUAUUCUCUAAUGUUAAGGAUUGAAACGAAGUGGGGCCCAAAGCACAUAACGGAACGUCUAUAAUACUAACGGAAUGGGUAACGUGAGACCGUUUUUAAAAGUUUGGGGGGGGGGGGGUAUUUUGAGACGUUUCAAAGCCCAUGUGGGAAAAUAAGAUAAUAUGCUAGUGGCCAAUUAAAGAACUUCAACAUACCCAUGAAGCAAUGAUGAUGAAGGAAGAAGUGCAACUAGCACAAGAAGAAAAGAAUUCAAAAGAAUGCAUGAAGCCUCACCCAUGCCAAAAUAAGAUAGGAAAAGAAGUAUGGGAUGAAAGAAAACAAGAAGAAAUUGAAUUCACAUGCUUGUAAGGUGUCAUCCACUCUAAAGAAGCUCAAAUUCAAUGCGUAUUAUCUAAAAACAGGAUGAAAGCCACAAGGAAAGAAAGAAAAAGAGAAAACAAUUCAACAAUUGAAUUGAUUCCAACCACACUAACAUAGGCAAGAUGAAGUGGGAGUUAGGUAUUGCAUUAAAAAAGGAAUGAUGGUGUUGGAAUCCAUCAUGAUGUUUCUCCUUCUUAGCCCUAUAAAUAAAGAAGUCUUCAAGCUUCAAAGCACACACCAAGCUCACAAUCUUCUCUUGAGCUCUCUCUCCUUCCUCCAAUUCUUCUAGUUUUA